AGGACGAACGCUGGCGGCGUGCCUAAUACAUGCAAGUUGAGCGAUGAAGAUUGGUGCUUGCACCAAUUUGAAGAGCAGCGAACGGGUGAGUAACGCGUGGGGAAUCUGCCUUUGAGCGGGGGACAACAUUUGGAAACGAAUGCUAAUACCGCAUAACAACUUUAAACAUAAGUUUUAAGUUUGAAAGAUGCAAUUGCAUCACUCAAAGAUGAUCCCGCGUUGUAUUAGCUAGUUGGUGAGGUAAAGGCUCACCAAGGCGAUGAUACAUAGCCGACCUGAGAGGGUGAUCGGCCACAUUGGGACUGAGACACGGCCCAAACUCCUACGGGAGGCAGCAGUAGGGAAUCUUCGGCAAUGGACGAAAGUCUGACCGAGCAACGCCGCGUGAGUGAAGAAGGUUUUCGGAUCGUAAAACUCUGUUGGUAGAGAAGAACGUUGGUGAGAGUGGAAAGCUCAUCAAGUGACGGUAACUACCCAGAAAGGGACGGCUAACUACGUGCCAGCAGCCGCGGUAAUACGUAGGUCCCGAGCGUUGUCCGGAUUUAUUGGGCGUAAAGCGAGCGCAGGUGGUUUAUUAAGUCUGGUGUAAAAGGCAGUGGCUCAACCAUUGUAUGCAUUGGAAACUGGUA
rnacentral:rRNA from 2 species